rnacentral:rRNA from 1 species
CCACACACGACCGUACCGCAAACCGACACUGGUGCGCGAGAUGAGUAUUCUAAGGCGCUUGAGAGAACUCAGGAGAAGGAACUCGGCAAAUUGACACCGUAACUUCGGAAGAAGGUGUGCCUUUAGUAGGUGAAGGGAUUUACUCCUAGAGCCCAAUGAGGUUGCAAAAAAUCGGUGGCUGCGACUGUUUAUUAAAAACACAGCACUCUGCAAACACGAAAGUGGACGUAUAGGGUGUGACGCCUGCCCGGUGCUGGAAGAUUAAAUGAUGGGGUGCAAGCUCUUGAUUGAAGUCCCAGUAAACGGCGGCCGUAACUAUAACGGUCCUAAGGUAGCGAAAUUCCUUGUCGGGUAAGUUCCGACCUGCACGAAUGGCGUAACGAUGGCCACACUGUCUCCUCCUGAGACUCAGCGAAGUUGAAAUGUUUGUGAUGAUGCAAUCUCCCCGCGGAAAGACGGAAAGACCCCAUGAACCUUUACUGUAGCUUUGUAUUGGACUUUGAACAGAUCUGUGUAGGAUAGGUGGGAGGCUUUGAAGUAGGGUCGCUAGAUCUUAUGGAGCCAACGUUGAAAUACCACUCUGGUGUGUUUGAGGUUCUAACCUAGGUCCAUUAUCUGGAUCGGGGACAGUGCAUGGUAGGCAGUUUGACUGGGGCGGUCUCCUCCCAAAGCGUAACGGAGGAGUUCGAAGGUACGCUAGUUACGGUCGGACAUCGUGACGAUAGUGCAAUGGCAUAAGCGUGCUUAACUGCGAGACUGACAAGUCGAGCAGAUGCGAAAGCAGGACAUAGUGAUCCGGUGGUUCUGUAUGGAAGGGCCAUCGCUCAACGGAUAAAAGGUACUCUGGGGAUAACAGGCUGAUACCGCCCAAGAGUUCAUAUCGACGGCGGUGUUUGGCACCUCGAUGUCGGCUCAUCUCAUCCUGGGGCUGUAGCCGGUCCCAAGGGUAUGGCUGUUCGCCAUUUAAAGAGGUACGUGAGCUGGGUUUAAAACGUCGUGAGACAGUUUGGUCCCUAUCUUCCGUGGGCGCUGCAGAUUUGAGGAAGCCUGCUCCUAGUACGAGAGGACCGGAGUGGACACACCUCUGGUGUAUCGGUUGUCACGCCAGUGGCAUUGCCGAGUAGCUAAGUGUGGAAGAGAUAACCGCUGAAAGCAUCUAAGCGGGAAACUCGUUUCAAGAUGAGAUCUGCCGGGGCCUUGAGCCCCCUAAAGAGUCGUUCAAGACCAGGACGUUGAUAGGUCGGGUGUGGAAGCGCAGUAAUGCGUUAAGCUAACCGAUACUAAUUGCUCGUGCGGCCUGACCCU